rnacentral:rRNA from 1 species
UGUAAGCGUAUACCAAAGUUGUUGCAGUUAAAACGCUCGUAGUCGGAAUUUGGCAGUUCCGGAUGUGUGCACGUCGUGUGCGCACUUCGCGGGGAUUGCUUUUGUGGUCUUGCGUAGGAUGAGGCACUUUUAUUAGUGAACGUCCUCACGCAACCACUUUUUACUGUGAGAAAAUCAGAGUGCUCAAAGCAGGCAUUUGCCGUGAAUGUGUUAGCAUGGAAUAAUAGAAUAGGACUUGGUUCUAUUUUGUUGGUUUGUUGGGACUGAGUAAUGAUUAAGAGGGACAGUUGGGGGCAUUUGUAUUUCGGUGCUAGAGGUGAAAUUCUUAGAUUACCGAAAGACAAACUGCUGCGAAAGCGUCUGCCAAGGAUGUUUUCAUUGA